rnacentral:rRNA from 1 species
GAUGAACGCUGGCGGCGUGCCUAACACAUGCAAGUCGAGCGCGAUUAAGUGGAGUGAGGACUUCGGUCUAAGUGAAGCUUAUGAAAGCGGCGGACGGGUGAGUAACGCGUGGGUAACCUGCCCCAUACAAAGGGAUAGCCACUGGAAACGGUGAUUAAUACCUUAUAAGUCGGUAGUCUCGCAUGAGACAGCCGACAAAGAUUUAUCGGUAUGGGAUGGACCCGCGUCUGAUUAGCUAGUUGGUGAGGUAACGGCUCACCAAGGCGACGAUCAGUAGCCGACCUGAGAGGGUGAUCGGCCACACUGGAACUGAGACACGGUCCAGACUCCUACGGGAGGCAGCAGUGGGGAAUAUUGCACAAUGGGCGCAAGCCUGAUGCAGCAACGCCGCGUGAGUGAUGAAGGCUUUCGGGUCGUAAAACUCUGUCCUAUGGGAAGAAAAAAUAGACGGUACCAUAGGAGGAAGCCCGGCUAACUACGUGCCAGCAGCCGACGG